CCUGGCUCCGUUGAGCGCUAGCUACAGGCUUAACACAUGCAAGUCGAGGGGCUGCAUGGUCUUAGCUUGCUAAGGCCGAUGGCGACCGGCGCACGGGUGAGUAACACGUAUCCAACCUGCCGUCUACUCUUGGACAGCCUUCUGAAAGGAAGAUUAAUACAGGAUGGCAUCAUGAGUCCGCAUGUUCACAUGAUUAAAGGUAUUCCGGUAGACGAUGGGGAUGCGUUCCAUUAGAUAGUAGGCGGGGUAACGGCCCACCUAGUCUUCGAUGGAUAGGGGUUCUGAGAGGAAGGUCCCCCACAUUGGAACUGAGACACGGUCCAAACUCCUACGGGAGGCAGCAGUGAGGAAUAUUGGUCAAUGGGCGAGAGCCUGAACCAGCCAAGUAGCGUGAAGGAUGACUGCCCUAUGGGUUGUAAACUUCUUUUAUAAAGGAAUAAAGUCGGGUAUGGAUACCCGUUUGCAUGUACUUUAUGAAUAAGGAUCGGCUAACUCCGUGCCAGCAGCCGCGGUAAUACGGAGGAUCCGAGCGUUAUCCGGAUUUAUUGGGUUUAAAGGGAGCGUAGAUGGAUGUUUAAGUCAGUUGUGAAAGUUUGCGGCUCAACCGUAAAAUUGCAGUUGAUACUGGAUAUCUUGAGUGCAGUUGAGGCAGGCGGAAUUCGUGGUGUAGCGGUGAAAUGCUUAGAUAUCACGAAGAACUCCGAUUGCGAAGGCAGCCUGCUAAGCUGCAACUGACAUUGAGGCUCGAAAGUGUGGGUAUCAAACAGGAUUAGAUACCCUGGUAGUCCACACGGUAAACGAUGAAUACUCGCUGGUUGCGAUAUACUGCAAGCGGCCAAGCGAAAGCGUUAAGUAUUCCACCUGGGGAGUACGCCGGCAACGGUGAAACUCAAAGGAAUUGACGGGGGCCCGCACAAGCGGAGGAACAUGUGGUUUAAUUCGAUGAUACGCGAGGAACCUUACCCGGGCUUAAAUUGCAGAUGAAUUACGGUGAAAGCCGUAAGCCGCAAGGCAUCUGUGAAGGUGCUGCAUGGUUGUCGUCAGCUCGUGCCGUGAGGUGUCGGCUUAAGUGCCAUAACGAGCGCAACCCUUGUUGUCAGUUACUAACAGGUUCCGCUGAGGACUCUGACAAGACUGCCAUCGUAAGAUGUGAGGAAGGUGGGGAUGACGUCAAAUCAGCACGGCCCUUACGUCCGGGGCUACACACGUGUUACAAUGGGGGGUACAGAGGGCCGCUACCACGCGAGUGGAUGCCAAUCCCCAAAACCUCUCUCAGUUCGGACUGGAGUCUGCAACCCGACUCCACGAAGCUGGAUUCGCUAGUAAUCGCGCAUCAGCCACGGCGCGGUGAAUACGUUCCCGGGCCUUGCACACACCGCC
rnacentral:rRNA from 1 species